GUGGCGACGAUGCGUAGGGGUUCUGAGAGGAAGGUCCCCCACACUGGUACUGAGACACGGACCAGACUCCUACGGGAGGCAGCAGUGAGGAAUAUUGGUCAAUGGGAGAGAUCCUGAACCAGCCAAGCCGCGUGAGGGAAGACGGCCCUAUGGGUUGUAAACCUCUUUUGUCGGAGAACAAAACCCGGGACGAGUCCCGGACUGCGUGUAUCCGAAGAAAAAGCAUCGGCUAACUCCGUGCCAGCAGCCGCGGUAAUACGGAGGAUGCGAGCGUUAUCCGGAUUUAUUGGGUUUAAAGGGUGCGUAGGCGGUCCGUUAAGUCAGCGGUAAAAUUGCGGGGCUCAACCCCGUCGAGCCGUUGAAACUGGCAGACUUGAGUUGGCGAGAAGUACGCGGAAUGCGCGGUGUAGCGGUGAAAUGCAUAGAUAUCGCGCAGAACUCCGAUUGCGAAGGCAGCGUACCGGCGCCAGACUGACGCUGAGGCACGAAAGCGUGGGGAUCGAACAGGAUUAGAUACCCUGGUAGUCCACGCAGUAAACGAUGAAUGCUGGUUGUCCGGGUCGAAUGAGACC
rnacentral:rRNA from 1 species